AGGGAAUCUUCCGCAAUGGACGAAAGUCUGACGGAGCAACGCCGCGUGAGUGAAGAAGGCCUUCGGGUCGUAAAGCUCUGUUGCCGGGGAAGAACAAGUGCCGUUCGAACAGGGCGGUGACUUGACGGUACCCGGCCAGAAAGCCACGGCUAACUACGUGCCAGCAGCCGCGGUAAUACGUAGGUGGCAAGCGUUGUCCGGAAUUAUUGGGCGUAAAGCGCGCGCAGGCGGCUUCUUAAGUCUGAUGUGAAAGCUUGCGGCUCAACCGCAAGCGGUCAUUGGAAACUGGGAGGCUUGAGCGCAGAAGAGGAGAGUGGAAUUCCACGUGUAGCGGUGAAAUGCGUAGAGAUGUGGAGGAACACCAGUGGCGAAGGCGGCUCUCUGGUCUGUAACUGACGCUGAGGCGCGAAAGCGUGGGGAGCAAAC
rnacentral:rRNA from 1 species